GCCCAGCUUGCUGGGUGGAUUAGUGGCGAACGGGUGAGUAACACGUGAGUAACCUGCCCUUAACUCUGGGAUAAGCCUGGGAAACUGGGUCUAAUACCGGAUAGGAGCGUCCACCGCAUGGUGGGUGUUGGAAAGAUUUAUCGGUUUUGGAUGGACUCGCGGCCUAUCAGCUUGUUGGUGAGGUAAUGGCUCACCAAGGCGACGACGGGUAGCCGGCCUGAGAGGGUGACCGGCCACACUGGGACUGAGACACGGCCCAGACUCCUACGGGAGGCAGCAGUGGGGAAUAUUGCACAAUGGGCGCAAGCCUGAUGCAGCGACGCCGCGUGAGGGAUGACGGCCUUCGGGUUGUAAACCUCUUUCAGUAGGGAAGAAGCGAAAGUGACGGUACCUGCAGAAGAAGCACCGGCUAACUACGUGCCAGCAGCCGCGGUAAUACGUAGGGUGCGAGCGUUAUCCGGAAUUAUUGGGCGUAAAGAGCUCGUAGGCGGUUUGUCGCGUCUGUCGUGAAAGUCCGGGGCUUAACCCCGGAUCUGCGGUGGGUACGGGCAGACUAGAGUGCAGUAGGGGAGACUGGAAUUCCUGGUGUAGCGGUGGAAUGCGCAUAUAUCAGGAGGAACACCGAUGGCGAAGGCAGGUCUCUGGGCUGUAACUGACGCUG
rnacentral:rRNA from 1 species